rnacentral:lncRNA from 1 species
CGGGUACCCUAAGAAGCAAGAAACAUUUUCUCGGAUAUCAGGAUACUGUGAGCAAACUGAUAUCCACUCUCCCCAUGUUACUGUCUAUGAAUCUCUUGUUUAUUCUGCAUGGCUCCGGUUACCCCCCGAGGUUGAUACUUCUACAAGAAAGGUAAAGUUUGUCAAUUUUGUGUUUCUCUUUUACUUUGUAGAUAAAAUCAGAGUAUAUUAACAAGACAUGCAACACACACCACUAAUUUCAGAUGUUCAUUGAGGAAGUUAUGGAGCUGAUAGAGCUGACUUCAAUAAGAGAAGCGCUUGUUGGAUUACCUGGUGUGAAUGGUCUGUCCACAGAACAGCGCAAGAGGUUAACGAUUGCAGUUGAACUUGUUGCCAAUCCAUCUAUUAUAUUCAUGGAUGAACCUACCUCUGGCCUUGAUGCAAGAGC